AUAGCGUAUAUUUAAGUUGUUGUAGUUAAAAAGCUCAAAGUUGGACUUUGGGAUUGGCCGUCCGGUUCGCCUAUGGUGUGCAUUGGUCAUCUCGUCCCUUCCAUCGGCGAUACGCUAUUGACCUUAACUGGCCGGGUCGUGCCUCCGACGUUGUUACUUUGAAGAAAUUAAAGUUCUUAAAGCAAGCGUACGCUCUGUAUACAUUAUCAUGGGAUAACAUUAUAGGAUUUCAGUCCUAUUACGUUGGCCUUCGAGAUCGGAGUAAUGAUUAUAGGGACAGUCGGGGGCAUUCGUAUUUCAUAGUCAGAGGUGAAAUAAUUGGAUUUAUGAAAUACGAACAACUGCGAAGGCAUUUUCCAAGGAUGUUUUCAUUAAUCAAGAAUGAAAGUUGGGGGCUUGAAGGCGGUCUGAUACCGUCCUAAUAUCAACCAUAAAUGAUACCGACCAGGGAUCGGUGGAUGUUGUUUUUAGGAAUAUGCUGGCACCUUAUGAGAAAACAAAGUUUUUGGGUUCCGGGGGGAGUAUGGUCGCAAGGCUGAAACUUAAAGGAAUUGAUGGAAGGGCACCACCAGGAGUGGAGCCUGUGGCUUAAUUUGACUCAACACGGGGAAACUUACCAGGUCCUGACAUAGUAAGGAUUGAUAGACUAAGAGCUCUUUCUUGAUUCUAUGAGUGGUGGUGCAUGGCCAUUCUUAGUUGGUGGAGUGAUUUGUCUGGUUAAUUCCGUUAACAAAUGAGACCUCAGGCUGCUAACUAGCUAUGCGGAGGUAUUCCUUUGCGGCCAGCUUCUUAGAGGGACUACGACAUUUCAGGACGCGGAAGUAUGACGUAAUAAUAAGUCUGUGAUGCCCUUAGAUGUUCUGGGCCGCACGCACACUACACUAAUGUAUUUAAUGAGUUUAUAGCCUUGGUCGACAGGCCCGGGUAAUCUUUGAAAUUUCAUCGUGAAGGGGAUAGAUCAUUGCAAUUAUUGAUCUUCAAUGAGGAAUUCCAAGUAAGCGCGAGUCAUCAGCUCGUGUUGACUAUGUCCUUGCCCUUUGUACCCACCGCCCGUCACUCAUACCGAUUGAAUGAUCCGGUAAAAUGUUCAAAUAUUGGCCACGUGGGUGGUUCACUGCCCGCGAAGUCGUGAGAAGUCCAUUGAACCUUAUCAUUUAGAGAAAGGAGAAUUCAUAUCAAGGUUUUUGUUGGUGAACCUGUGGAAG
rnacentral:rRNA from 1 species